GUAUGUGUGCCUGAAGGAGGGAAAUCUGUGUGGUUGGAUUGCAUUAUUAUUGCAUUAUUCUCCUCCCACAUUUGAUUUGUGAUUCAUGCAGGGUCUCAGAACUCCACUGGUGGCAGCUCUAAGGUAUUCCAAGUUGUUCCACCAGUGAACCAAGUUGUUUCAUUCACAAUUUUAUUUGCAUGCCAUUUUUUCUGCAAAAAAGAAUCCUGCUCAAAGCGGUUUACAACAAAGAAAACAGGAAUGCAUCUCAAAAUCAACCAUUGCGAGAAAAAGUUCAUGAUAACGUAAUAAAACAACAGCGUCAUGGCAAAUAUAACAAUAUACAAAACCUCCCAGCAUUUCGGUACUGGAAAUAUAACAAUAUUGCAUUAAAAGCAUUUCACCCCUUGGUGAAAAGGAAACAGUAACAGGGAAGCUUGACAGUUUCAGCUUGGUCCUAGAAAUGUUUCCGGUCUGCUGUUGCUCACAGCCCUUCUCCUGCAAUGACUUACAAGGCUUCCAAAGGCUGGAUCAGAGUCUGGCAUCCUGCUGUCACAGUGGCAAACCAGAUCCCUGUGGAUCCUAGCAGCUGGGAUUCAAAUUUGGAAGGGAACUGGGAGCCAUUUUGUGGUUCGCCUCAGGUGUCAACAUGUUUUGGGUUGGCCCUGCUGCUGAGUCUCCACUGGCAGUGAGUUCCACAGGACAGGGCCUGCCACGCAAAAGACUCAGUCCCUAGUAAAGGUUGAUCAAAUCUCAGGGGCCUUGUGAGGAGCCACCAGAAGUGCCCCAUCGGAGGAUCUCAGUAAUUGAGUUGAAGGAUAAAGGAUCAGGAAUGGGUAACUUGAAACACUAGGUUUACAACAGCUUGCAAGCCUUGACACUAUAUAUUUAAAAAAUAAAUCCAAAAAAUUGUCUUUGUCUUGAGUGAUGGACAGCUUUUGUCUGCUGCCACAGAGCCCAGUUUUCAGGGACCAGAACAGGAUAUGAGCUGCAGACCCUGCUCAGUCAGAGCCCUAGAAUUAAAUCUUGUCAUUUAUAUUUAACCAGAGCUUCACUUUUUAAAUUAUUCAAGGGUCUAAGCUUUCAUUAAUUCCUCUGCCUACAUGGGUUUAGUUUUGUUUUUGAUGUGGAAUGGGAUUGCUUUCACCUAAAUUGGUGUAAUACCCCCAUAUAUAUCUCCCCUUCUCCCUGCUUAAACCGCACGCCGGGUAUCAUUUAACGAAUAAAAAACGUUGACAUGAUAUAUGAAAUUAAAGCUGGCGUUGGGCAUAGAAAUGCAUUUGAAAGUGCCGAGAUUGGAUCCGCUCUCAUUUCUAAUCAAAACAGCCAGCUUAACAAAAGGAAGGAGCAGAUUGGUUCUCCGGCGUGUGAACCGAGCUGUGCUGGAAGUGAAAGAAAGGUGGAUGGGAAUGGGGUCGGGGGGUCAGCUGAUUAUUUACAGCAGCUGUCCCCCAACCUGGUGCCCUCUGGAUGUUUUAGGCUACAGCUUCCAUCGGCUGGGGCCAUAGGAGUUGUCCUUCAAAACCUCCUGAGGGUACCUGGUUGAGGGAAGACUGAUUUACACGUUAACAUUCCCGGGUUCGAGUGCAGCUCUCUGUUAGGUGCAACUGCUCUGCUGACUUCCUGGAAGAAAGAUCUAGUAGUGAUGUAUGGAAGUGAGAGCUGGACCAUAAAGAAGGCUGUUCGUAGAAGAAUUGAUGCUUUUGAAUUAUGGUGCUGGAGGAGUCUCUUGAGAGUCCCAUAGACUGCAAGAAGAUCAAACCUAUCCAUUCUUAAGGAAAUCAGCCCUGAGUGCUCACUGGAAGGACAGAUCCUGAAGCUGAGGGUCCAAUACUUUGGCCACCUCAUGAGAAGAGAAGACUCCCUGGAAAAGUACCCUGUUGUUGGGAAAGAUGGAGGGCACAAGGAGAAGGGGACGACAGAGGACGAGAUGGUUGGAUAAGUGUUCUCGAAGCUACCAGCAUUAGUUUGACUAAACCGCGGGAGGCAGUGGAAGACAGAAGUGCCUGGCGUGCUCUGGUCCAGGGGGUCAUGAAGAGUCGGACACGACAAAACGACUAAACAACAACAAAUGUGGGCAUGCAGUGAAUGAGUGAGCCAAAGUGCUGCUUUUGGGGUUGCUUUUCCGGUGCAUCUUGGAGGAACAAAAUUCCCAUUCCACGUUUCUCUCUUUCUAGUCUUUCUUUACUCCUGCUUUUGUGCUCAGGAGCCCCUUUUGUCCUUUCUCCUUGGAACCCAAAGUCAACUCAGCUGUCCUCCAUGCUGCCUUUGGAAGUGGCUGUCCGUCAAGACUGUCUUCUUUUAUGCCAUCCCCACUAGGCUUUCUGAUCCACACCAGCUCCUUUGUGUGGCAUGGAGAGAUCAAGGGAAGCUGGCUUUAUUGCCAUGGCGCAGUGGCUGCUGUUGGGAUGGUCUGGAUCUUGUUCCCAUGGUAGCCACUGCUGGGUUGGGCCUUCCCCAUUCCACCAGCUCUGAGGAACAGCUUGUCCAAGCAGAUCCACAUGCCGGAUUUUCCUUGAGCGAAGCCCCCGGCGUCCAGCGAAGUUGAAGGUUGGAAGCUUCAGGUCAGAUGUUCAAGAAAGCCUGCGAAAGAGAGCCAUAAAACAAAUAUAAAACAGACCAGAAACAUCAGAAAUGAAAGCAAUUAUUGUAGCAACAGUAAAACUAGCAGUAGAUAUAAAAUCAGUCAGGAGGAUGCGAGGCUGCCUGCUAAGUCUGGCAGCUUUAACAGAGGAUUAGAUUAAUUCUUGAAGGACAUGGCUAUCAGUGGCUACUAGCCACAAUCAUUAUUCUCUGUUACCUCUACUCUUGGAGAUACUGGGCCUCUGAAUACCUGUUGCUGGGAAUCUCAGGUGGGGAGAGCAGCAUUUGAAGUUCACCAGGCACAUUUUGCACCUGAGGAUGGGCUACUUGCACCCAAGGGAAGAUGCCUAGGUGGUAGGAUGACGCCUGACGUCUCCACUGUCGGGAGGUGGAUGCCUGGGGAUCCUUGGAUCUUGAUUGUUUUCACACACAAGCAACACAUCCUGUAGAAUCCUAGCCAAUACGUUUUAUCUGCACAAUCAGAAUGAAUUUCAGGAACCCAAAAAGUCUUAUUGAAAAAUAUGACUUUCGAACCGUCUGGACCCAACAUGGCAAUGAAGCAGUCCCUCUUGGUGACUGUAACCCUAGUUUAAGGAGCUAUUUGGCACCUAGUUUAUAUAUCUGAAGGGAUGCGAGUGGCGCUAUGGGUUAAACCACAGAGCCUAGGACUUGCCAGUCAGAAGGUUGGCGGUUUGAAUCCCCACAACGGGGUGAGCUCCUGUUGUUUGGUCCCUGCUCCUGCCAUCCUAGCAGUUCGAAAGCACAUCAAAGUGCAAGUAGAUAAAUAGGUACCGCUCCAGCAGGAAGGUAAACAGUGUUUCCGUGCACUGCUCUGGUUCGCCAGAAGCGGCUUAGUCAUGCUGGCCACAUGACGCAGAAGCUGUACGCCAGCUCUCUCGGCCAAUAAAGCAAGAUGAGCGCCACAACCCCAAAGUCGGUCAUGACUGGACCUAAUGGUCAGGGGUCCCUUUACUCUUUACCUUACCUUAUAUAUCUGAGCUUCUAACACUGGCCCGGGAGAGUGGCCUUCAUAUCUCCGCCGGAGCACAAUUUCUGUUCUCAUCCUGAAGCAAAGUUCUUAACCCGAGGUACUAUUUCUGGGUUAGCGGAGUGUGUAACCUGAAGCGUAUGUAAUCUGAAGCGUAUGUAACCCGAGGUACCACUGUAUAAGCUUUAGUUUGGAAGGGGACAGAACUAUUCAAGCCCUAACUGCUAUUUCCUCUUCACGCUCUUAUUUCCAUUUUCUGAACAAUACCAUUGUUCGUAUCCUGUAGCAAGUCAAGUUCUCUAUGGACUAUAAACAUCUGUUAAGUCCAAAUGAUUAGGGGGGUUGUGCAUGAAAGAGUCAGUUCAGAAUUACUUCAGUCUCACGAACUGGUCUGAACUUUACUGGAGUUCUUUUUUUCUUUCUUAAAAAACUUUACAGAGUUUUAAAAAAACCAAUAAAUUAUGUAGCACGGCUCAUGAAAAAGCCAGUCCUUGGCCAGUCAACCCAAAAGAGUCUAGAAAGUUUUGGUUUUGCAGGAGGAUAAAAAUAAUUGUUUUCAUGUGUUUCGCGAGCCCGUAAAAGCAACAGGGCAGGAAGUGAGCGGGCCCAUAAUUGCACUUUCAAAGAAAGAGAGGCAGAGAGGGACUGGCCAAUGGCCCCUCGUGGAGGAGGCUCAGCCAUGCUCCCCAGGGCAGCUUCAUCCUAAGAGAGCUCCAUGGUAGCUUCAGUGCAGGUUUCCAACAGAAUAUCUUGGGAAGCAUUAAUGCUAUGAUGCUUAGUGCUAGUGUGUCCUUUGUUUGGAGUGUGGAAGGGUCUUGACUCAGUGUUUUGAGUGCAAAAAAGUUCUCCGGUUGAAUCCUUGGUCUCUCCAAGUAGGAAAGACCCCUUCCCCAAACCCUGGAGAUUCAGGAAGGGGUUUAGGUUGCAGCAAUCUGCUAAAAUGGAAUUUCUCUUCCAUUGAUUUCAUAGAGGUUUCCAUCCAGACCUACUAUGGAUUCCCUGCUAACAAACCUCCUCCCUUUUAUCCUGAUGCACACCCCUUCCUGGAUCAGGAAGGGCUGUGCAUUGGAAGCCCCUGCUAAAGGGGAGGAUUUCCCUCCCCCAUUAUACCGUAAUUUUAGCAGAGGAUCCUUGCAACCCAUUGCCAAGUCAAGGGGAGAAACUCUCCUUUAGAAGCCCCAGCUUCAGGACUUCAAAGUAUCUUGCAUGUAAUGUCACUGUGAUGUCAUGGAACUGAUAGGUGGGCAGCCUCACCCACCUGUCUGAUUUGGCCCUACAAGGCUGAUCCUGAUGAAGAUGUGGCCCUUGUAGAUGAAAAGGUUUCCUACUCGUACUGUAAAGCAAGGUCCUAGAAGAGGGUUGCUCACAGCAAACCCAACCCCAAAGGCCUUCAAGCGAGUCUUCAGAACAUGGAUUAGAUAUUAGACCAAGGAUGGCGGACUUCAGGCAUGCAGGAUCUCCUUGGUUUGCUUGUUUCUCACUAGAAUCCAGAGGCCACCGAUCACAACCAGGUGCAAAAAGGGCCAAUGUGGUGUAGUGGUUAGAGUGUUUUGUGACUAUGACCAGGAUUCAAAUUCCCACUUGGCCAUCAAGCUUGCUGGGUGACCUUUGGCUGGGCAUGCCUCUUAGUCUGAGCUCCCUCAUAGGGUGGUUGUGAGAGUAAAAGAGGGGAUGAGGAGAGCCAUGAACACUAUCUUGAGCUCCUAGGUGGAAAGUAAAUGUAGUAAUAAGUAC